rnacentral:snRNA from 1 species
GGAUGUGAGGAUGACUGGCUGCAACAUCUGUCACCCCAUUGAUCAUCAAGGUUAAUUUGCCUGAUCUGGCUGGCUGGGCAGGUGUCCCCUUCCUCCCUCACCGCUCCAUGUGCUUCCCUCCUGAAGCUGUGCGCUGGGUGGAAGAGGACGACCAUCCCCAAUAGAGGAGGACCAUUCUUCGACCAAGGGUAUAGGAGUAGCUGUGCUCUCCGGCUAGAACCUCCAAACAAGCUCUCAUUAUCUUCUGAGAUAAUGCCUCUUCAGGAGAUGUGCUAAGAGUAAUCAAAUGUCAAAGGUGCUAACAUUU